UACACUCCUACGGGAGGCAGCAGUGGGGAAUUUUGGACAAUGGGCGAAAGCCUGAUCCAGCAAUGCCGCGUGAGUGAAGAAGGCCUUCGGGUUGUAAAGCUCUUUUGUCAGGGAAGAAACGGUGAGAGCUAAUAUCUCUUGCUAAUGACGGUACCUGAAGAAUAAGCAUCGGCUAACUACGUGCCAGCAGCCGCGGUAAUACGUAGGGUGCAAGCGUUAAUCGGAAUUACUGGGCGUAAAGCGUGCGCAGGCGGUUUUGUAAGUCUGAUGUGAAAUCCCCGGGCUCAACCUGGGAAUUGCAUUGGAGACUGCAAGGCUAGAAUCUGGCAGAGGGGGGUAGAAUUCCACGUGUAGCAGUGAAAUGCGUAGAUAUGUGGAGGAACACCGAUGGCGAAGGCAGCCCCCUGGGUCAAGAUUGACGCUCAUGCACGAAAGCGUGGGGAGCAAACAGGAUUAGAUACCCCAGUAGUCCCAU
rnacentral:rRNA from 1 species